rnacentral:snoRNA from 1 species
GCUGUGUCAAUUCAGUAGGUGCCAGAGAGGGGUGAGGUUAUGUCUAGCUUAGUGUCCUGAUCUAUGAACAUCUCAAUGAUUAGUAACCUAUAAUU